AGUAGCUUCUAAAGGAGCUAUUAAUAGCUGGUGAAUGAAACCUCCCUUGCUAUUCCUCAAUUUCUAAAUGUUCUUAGCUAUUCUAAGACAUUUAUUCUUUCUGAUAAGCAUUAAACAUAUUUUGUCCUGUUUAAAAAGCAUAGUCAGGGAGCAUGGGCUCGAGCCCCCUGUGCUUCCAGUGCUUCCUUGGAAGAACAAGAAUAAAUUAAUGAGAGGUGCUUCUUACCUCCAGGGCACUCCCAGUGCCUGGCACGCAUCAGGCUGGGUGUUUGUUGAAUGAAUGCACAGUUGACUGCUGCAUCCACCCCACGACCUUAACACACACCAUCAGCCUUGGAAGCAGAACUCCGGGACAGAUCCGACGUGGCCACUGUCAAUAGCCUUGAAAGCAGGAAUGUUUGUCUCCGGUAAAUAGAGAAGUGGCAUCAGAGGGACAAGCUCCUCUGAAGUGUCAGGUGAUUUCCCAAAGGAUCAUUUGUGGGGAAAUAUUUAGGGAGCUCUAAUUUGGAAGUCCUGUUUUCCCCCCAAAUACCAGGACUCCUCCCCAUGCUCAGGGGGAAAACUCUACUGCAAGACCUCCCGUUUCCAGCUGACCAGCAGCCCAGAGAGCCUCCUCCCUGCACAGAAGGGCUCAGGGCAGAGUCCUUUUUCCCGUCAUUGGCUGCAAUGCAUUGAGGAGGACCCCAAGGCAGGGCCUGCGCAUCUGAACUGCCUUGGACUCUGGGGCGCCCUCACUGGAGCUCCCCUCCUGGAACCCAUUUCCUCCAGGAGAAACCUUGAGAAUGAAGACGGGGUCUAAGGCGUGUGAGUCCAGGGGGGCCCCUUGCUACCUCAAACUGAGAAGUAAAAUCUCAAACUAAAUAUAUGACCAGCUUAAUUAUGUUUAUCACCUGCAUAAAUGUCUCUUGAAAGAAAUCUUAUGUCUUUGCAGUCUGUGAAGGUGUUCUUGCCUGUCUGGAACAAGAAAAGAAGAUAAACAUGUAGUAAAAUAUAGGGAAACUUGAUUGAAGAACUAGUGCAUUUUAACUUUGGUGACUUUUUGCAAAGCCAGAUCUGAGAAGGAAAAAAAAAAAAAAGAGUCCUGCUGAUGUUGGGUCCCUCCCAGAGCUCUCUUUCUUCUCCGUCAACCAAUAGUUGUUUUUUCACACUGUGUGUAAAGAGAAUUUAAGAAAUUCUUCUGUCAUUUAAGACUUGACGACCAGAAGGAAUUCCACUAUCUCCCUGAAAAUAAUUUCUCCUCGUCUGUCAAUGACAUCAUGAUUAACCUAAUUUCCCAAGUUAAGUCAUUUCUUCCUUUCUUCCACAAAUAUUUAUUAAGUGCCUUCUAGGUAUCAGGCAUUGUUCUAAGAAUGGCAGCAAAGCCGUGAAUAAAAUAAAAUCCCUCCCCUCAUGGAGCGUAUAGACUAGAACGGGAGAGAAGGACAAUGUACAAAUUGAUAUGGUUUGGCUGUGUCCCCACCCAAAUCUCAUCUUGUAUUACAGUUCCCAUAAUCCCCACGUGUCCUGGGAGGGACCCAGUGGGAGGUAAUUGAACCAUGGGGGCCGUUACACCCAUGCUGUUCUCGUGAUAGUGAGUUUUCAUGAGAUCUGAUGGGUUUUUUGUUUGUUUGUUUUUGUUCUUUUUUUUUGAGACAGAGUCUCGUUCUGUUACCCAGGCUGGAGUGCAAUGGUGCAAUCUCAGCUCACUGCAACCUCCACCUCCCGGGUUCAAGCGAUUCUCCUGCCCCAGCCUCCCGAGUAGCUGGGAUUACAGGCACGUGCCACCAUGCCCGGCUAAUUUUUUUGUAUUUUUAGUAGAGAUGGGAUUUCACCAUGUUAGCCAGGAUGGUCUCGACCUCCUGACCUCGUGAUCCGCCUGCCUCGGCCUCCUAAAGUUCUGGGAUUACGGGUGUAAGCCACUGCACCCUGCCGAUCUGAUGGUUUUAUAAGGUGUUUUUCCCCUUUUGCUCAGCACUUCUCCUUCCUGCCACCAUGUGAAGAAGGACAUGUUUGCUUCCCUUCAGCCAGGAUUGCAAGCUUCCUGAGGCCUCCACAGCCCUGCGGAACUAAUCCCUGGUGGACUCUCGCAUUUGGUGGCAUUACCUGAUUAUCUGUGUGCCCACCAUGUAGCUCCUGGGCUCUCUGCCCACGGCUUGUUCUACAUCAGAAAGAGAAACUGCAAUGACCCCCUCCCUGCCCUCCGGAGCCUCCUUCACCAUCGAGGUGGCUUGGAAAACCCAGACGUAAAAGCUUUAAGGCAGAAGGGGGAAAGCACUGCGGUAAUAAGGAUGAAACUGCCCCCAGCAGGUGCUGGCAAAGUCAGCUCUCGGGGCCUUGUUCUUCCCGUUUGAUCACUGCUUCUCAGCCCUCUCCUCCUCCCACCUCUGCACCCACCCUGCCUCUCUCUCCUCUCUAUGGUCUUUGUUUUCCUCCCUCCCCUUCCCCAACACACAUCCAUGCAUGUUCACACACAUAGAUAAAGGUCUUGCCUUUCAAGGCAUUUAAAAUAAAGUUGGAAGAAAUAUAUGUAUAGUGUAAAGAACACUUCUAUGUCUGGAUUUGCUUGUUAACAUUUUG
rnacentral:lncRNA from 1 species